UCAGAAAUGUUACUAUUUUUUUUCUUGUGAAGUUAACUUAAAAAAAAAAAAGUCCUUUAGAGUAGGAAAGUUGGGUGUUAGGAGUCAGAGAGAAAACUCCACAAGUUUCCAGAAAGAAUCUACUUUUUGUUGCAAAGUCAUCUUCUAAGUCCAAAGAUAGGUAAUGAACUCAAACUUCAUUUUAGGUUUAAACACUGCUCCAGGGACAUUUGCACUCAUGAAGGGGGAAAGGAAGAGGAUCCCCCAACCGAUGGAGAAAGAGAGUCCCUGAGUAGUGAAAGUUACUGUCAUGGGUACCAGUCGGGUACAGUUUCUGUUUGGAGCCUUCUUGGGAAGGGAUAGAACAUGUAAAAAACUGCUCUGCAGUCAAAUCCAUGGAAUCCAAAGAAUUUGCAUCCUGCAAAUCUCCUGCCGCCCAUGAAGCCCGUUCUGUUUGUCCCAAGCUGGCGACACUUUAAAGCUGAUCCCUGAGCUGAAAUGACCGGAUGGAGUGAGCAAAAAUCUUCCAGUAAAAGAAGACGCUGAUCAAAUGACACGUGUGAGCAGUCACAUAUUUUUGCAAAAGGGAGGCUUCAUAAAUCCAAGGAGACGAGGUGCUUUGACUACAAUGACCAUCCAAAAAAGAGGCGAAAGAGAGACCAGGAGACUACCGUGGGAACUUCACCUCCUAAGUAUGUCAAGCUUCACCUUGUGAGCAGCCCAUCUGCUUUCCUUCUAGGAACGUCAUUCGCUAUCAACAAUCUCCACACCUCCCUGCAG